rnacentral:rRNA from 1 species
UACGAAGGGUGCAAACGUUGCUCGGAAUUAUUGGGCGUAAAGCGCACGUAGGCGGCAUUGCAAGUCGGAUGUGAAAUCCCUCGGCUUAACCAAGGAAGUGCAUCCGAAACUGCUGUGCUUGAGUACGAAAGAGGAUCGCGGAAUUCCCGGUGUAGAGGUGAAAUUCGUAGAUAUCUGGAAGAACACCGGAGGCGAAGGCGGCUGUCUGGCAAACAACUGACGCUAAGGCGCGAAAGCGUGGGGAGCAAACAGG